UUUGCGUUGGGGGCUUCUCAACCUUUUUGGGUGCCCUUUACUCUUUUUUUUUCUUCCUAUAGGGCACCCCCUCCAAGUCCACGCAGCCCUAUAGCCUGGAAUCCUAUGGGGAUGAGGAGGUUGGGCUGAUAGCGGAGAAUGUCUGUCCUCUUACAGGGAGAGGUCUGCUAAAUGUGCCCUUGAAUUUGGCAUUGUGGCAUCUCGCCUUCACCCCAGAGAGGUGUGAGGUAGAACACAUCAGCACCCACGCCGUUUUGCAUUGCCUUCAUACCUGGAGCAGUCCAGUGAUGGUAGGGGAGCCUUGCUUAGCAGGAUGGAUGUCACCAGUUCCUGAUGCUCUUGGGAGAACAAAGCCUGGGGACAAGGCAGCUGGGCAAAGUGGCUAUCAGGAGUCUGCAUGGGGUGAUGCUGGAACCAGGUGUUGGAGCUGGGCAAUGUUGGGAACCCAAACCAGUUCUUGGACAGUGAUGGACAACAUGGGACAUCCCUUCUCCAGGGAAAUACUGGGGUUGGUGUCACCCAAUGAGCACCACCAGUGACCUGACAGUUUGGGAACAGCCACUCUAAUAGUUGGGGGCAUCUUGGGGUCAGAAUGGAUAUCUCCUCCAUAGGAGGAGGACUCGAAUGGCUGGUGACAACUUCAGACUGCAGUGAUGAUGGGUGUCUACUCCAUAGGUCCUUGCUGUCCUCAUGGCAGGGGCCCACCAGGACCAGGCAG